CCUACGGGAGGCAGCAGUGGGGAAUUUUGGACAAUGGGCGCAAGCCUGAUCCAGCCAUGCCGCGUGGGUGAAGAAGGCCUUCGGGUUGUAAAGCUCUUUUGUCCGGGAGCAAGUCCUACUGGCUAAUAUCUGGUGGGGAUGAGAGUACUGGAAGAAUAAGCACCGGCUAACUACGUGCCAGCAGCCGCGGUAAU
rnacentral:rRNA from 1 species